GACAGAGGGUGCAAACGUUGUUCGGAAUUACUGGGCAUAAAGCGCACGUAGGUGGUCCGCUAAGUCGCGUGUGAAAUCCCCCGGCUCAACCGGGGAAAUGCGCGUGAUACUGGCGGGCUUGAGAUCGGGAGGGGUGAAUGGAAUUCCAGGUGUAGCGGUGAAAUGCGUAGAUAUCUGGAGGAACACCGGUGGCGAAGGCGGCGUCCUGGACCAACACUGACACUGAGGAGCGAAAGCCAGGGGAGCAAACGGG
rnacentral:rRNA from 1 species